rnacentral:rRNA from 1 species
UACAGAGGUCUCGAGCGUUGUUCGGAUUCAUUGGGCGUAAAGGGUGCGUAGGUGGCGGGGUAAGUCAGGUGUGAAAUCUCGGGGCUCAACCCCGAAACUGCAUUUGAUACUGCCUUGCUCGAGUACUGGAGAGGAGAUUGGAAUUUACGGUGUAGCAGUGAAAUGCGUAGAUAUCGUAAGGAAGACCAGUGGCGAAGGCGAAUCUCUGGACAGUUACUGACACUGAGGCACGAAGGCCAGGGGAGCAAACGGG